GGCUGCCACAAUGCUUCCAACUGGAGGUGAUGUGAAGACAGGACCGGCAAUGACCCCAGUAAGCAUGCCCUGACCAACAUAUCCUAUGGAUAGAAAGAGAGAAGGGAUCACCUAGGUAAUAAAAGGAUUGACCAGUGCGAUAAAACAUACAUUUCAGAUAAGAGGCAGAACAGGUUAAAAAAAA